AAGUCGUAACAAGGUAACCGUAGGUGAACCUGCGGUUGGAUCAUUACGAAUCAAACCUCUGCCCGUCGCGCUGGCCAUUCGGCCGCGCUUCGUGGUGGACAAACACCCAUGUGCACCUUUGACGUCUUUUGGCGGUCCCCUCGUAGUCUCGCGCGAGCGAGGCGUCGUUGUGCGUGAGGGUAACUCUUCACGCUCUUGGGCCGCCAGCAGUUGAAAAACACCCAGUAUUUUUUUUGCCUGAAACCAAAUGAGAAGCAAUGAGAAACAACUUUACACAACGGAUCUCUAGGCUCUC
rnacentral:misc_RNA from 1 species